AUGGCAGAUCCGAAAGUCUCUCAUAUGGCAGCAGCAAAGCGGGGUCUCAGGUAUGUGAAAGGGUCUGUGAACUUAGGAGUUUUUUAUGGAAGGGGUGCUGAGAAUUUGGGAAUAAUUUAUGAGAAAACUUCUGAAGUUGUUCUUAAGGCCUAUACCGACAGUGACUAUGCUAGUGAUACAGAUGAUAGAAGAAGCACUUCUGGAUAUGUGUUUCUUCUAAGUGGUGGUGCAGUUGCAUGCAGCUCAAGAAAGCAACCAGUUGUGACCCUUUCUACCACCGAAGCAGAAUAUGUAGCUAUUGUGGCAUGUGCUUGCCACAGUAUCUGGAUGAAAAGAGUACUCAACAGUCUCGGUUUCUCUUCAUGUAAGUGUGUUAAGAUUUUUUGUGAUAAUAGUUCAACUAUCAAGUUAUCAAAAAAUCCAGUUCUCCAUGGAAGAACCGAACACAUAGAUGUGAGGUUCCACUUCUUACGUGAUCUGGUCAAGGAAGGUGUUGUGGAGUUAGUUCAUUGUGGUACUAGUGAGCAGGUAGCAGACAUCAUGACAAAGCCUUUGAAGUUAGAGUCUUUUGUGAAACUGCGUGAUCUGCUAGGAGUUCAAAGAGCUAGUAGUUCAUUUAAGUUGGGAGUUGAUCAGGUCAAGUAUUUAGUUGCCACAGUCUUCGACAAUGUUUCGGUUUCAAGUAUAAACCUCGAGAAGAACUUAGCAUGAAAGGAGGCAAAGAAGAAUUAAGCUAUGCUAACAAUUCUAAAGCACAGGCCAAACAUGCAAAUUCCAUGCAUCACCUGCUUAAAGAAACCCUAGACAGAGUGCAGCCGAGCUCUCCAGAAUUCCUUUUUGUGGUUGCGGACCUUGGAUGCUCAAGUGGAAGCAACAGCAUCAACACCGUAGAUUUGAUCAUCAAGCACAUGACCAAGCGCUAUGAUGCCUUGGGAUAUGACUCACCUGAGUUCUCAGCCUUUUUCUCUGAUCUCCCUGGCAAUGACGUCAACACCCUCUUCCAGCUCCUCCUUCCUCUGGGCAACCACGGCGGCAGCAUGGAGGAGGCCCUUGCUGCCGACAGCCACUGCUCCUAAUUGGCUGCAGGAGUCCCCGGCUCCUUCUACUGGUGGCUUUUCCCGUCGAGGUCCAUUGACCUUUUUCACUCGGCGUUUUCCUUGCGUUGGCUCACACAGGUGCGAGAAAGUGUGCUAGACAAGAGAUCAGCAGCCUACAACAAAGGGAGGGUGUUCAUUCAUGGAGCAAAUGAGAGCACAGCCAAUGCAUACAAGAAGCAGUUCCAGACAGACUUGGCAAGCUUUCUCAGGUCAAGAGCCAAGGAGCUCAAGAAAGGUGGCUCCAUGUUUCUUGCCUGUUUGGGCAGGACCUCAGUGGACUCCACUGAACAAAGUGGCUUAGGCCUUCUCUUGGGGACCCACAUUCAGGGUGCUUGGGAUGAUCUUGUCCAAGAAGGUCUUAUCACUAGUGAGAAACGCGAUAGUUUCAACUUUCCUGUGUAUGCCUCAAGCUUACAAGACUUCAAGGAAGUAGUGGAAGCUGAUGGCUCAUUCACCAUGAACAAGCUUGAGAUUUUCAAUGGAGGAAGCCCCCUUGUAGUGAACCAACCAGAUGAUGCGGCUGAAGUCGGUCGAGCCAUUGCCAACAGUUGUAGGAGUGCGGGCGGAGUGCUCAUCGAUGCACACAUCGGUGAACACCUUAGCAAUGAGUUGUUUUCACGAGUGGAACAAAGUACUCAAGACAUGCCAAAGAGAUACUGGAGCAAAUACAGUUCUUUUACGUAGCGGCAUCACUUUCUCUUGCUUAAUUAGGGCGUUUCCUUUUCCUUUUUUCCUUCCUUAGGUCCCGUUUGGUGGGCUGGACUGGACUGGUUGAGAUAGACUUCAAAGUAUUGGAUUGGACUGGCUUGGACUGGGUAGGCUUUGAGUCCAGUCCUGUUCAUUUUUGCACCAAACAACGUACUGAAAUUAACUUCUUCUUUUUUUUUUCUUUUUUCUUUUUUUAAUAAAUCAGAAUUUUAUUUUAUUUUAUUUAUUAACAAUAAUCAUAUGCAAAAUCUCAAGCCCCAAAUCGGCGUAUGAAACCUUCCCUUGAUUGGUCAAACAAAUCGUGUGACGAAAAACGAGAGAAUCUUCACACAGGGAAGAGAAAUGCAAACCGUUUGGUUGCUGAGAAAACACAAGGAAAUGUGAAAAUAAAAUAAGAAAACGAAGACUGAAUCUGAUCCGAUAAAGCUACGAAAUAGGAGCGUUACACCUUCCUCUUCAGCAAACGAGCUCUUAAGCCUUCUCUUUCUCUCUCUCUCUCUCUCUCUCUCUCUACAAAAAUUCCUAUCCCCAAAUCCCCUCUUCUUCUUCUUCUUCCUCACUUCCAAAUUCCAACCUCUCCUUGCCCAACUCCAAAUCUACAAAAAGAGUAGCAUUGGACCCACUUUCUUCUUCAGGCAGUAAUUACCAACUACCCUUGCUCCGUUCUAUCUCUGCACAGCCCUUGGUCCCACCAACCCAAACCGAUUUCACCCAUUUCACAAACUGAAGAACCAGCGAAGUUCAAUGAUGUCGUGAAAGAGAUGAGAGCGAGAUUGGGUAGAGGAUACGGGAGAGAGAGAG